CCUACGGGUGACUGCAGUGGGGAAUAUUGGACAAUGGGGGGAACCCUGAUCCAGCCAUGCCGCGUGUGUGAAGAAGGCCCUCGGGUUGUAAAGCACUUUCAGUGAGGAAGAACGCCUGGUGGUUAAUACCCAUCAGGAAAGACAUCACUCACAGAAGAAGCACCGGCUAACUCCGUGCCAGCAGCCGCGGUAAUACGGAGGGUGCGAGCGUUAAUCGGAAUUACUGGGCGUAAAGCGCGCGUAGGUGGCUUGAUAAGCCGGUUGUGAAAGCCCCGGGCUCAACCUGGGAACGGCAUCCGGAACUGUCAAGCUAGAGUGCAGGAGAGGAAGGUAGAAUUCCCGGUGUAGCGGUGAAAUGCGUAGAGAUCGGGAGGAAUACCAGUGGCGAAGGCGGCCUUCUGGACUGACACUGACACUGAGGUGCGAAAGCGUGGGUAGCAAACAGGAUUAGAUACCCUGGUAGUC
rnacentral:rRNA from 1 species